rnacentral:lncRNA from 1 species
GGGGGAUAUCGCUGCUCCCGCCCUCCAGCCGCGCUGCCCCUGCCGCCCAGCCGGGGAAGCGAGCCUCAAGAAACAGCUUCAAGGUCCCACAUCUUCAAAAGCAAGUCUUUUAAGAAAUCCAAAAUUUGUGGAAUCUGCAAACAAGUAAUUGAUAGCCAAGGCAUUUCCUGCAGAGCUUGCAAAUAUGCCUGCCACAGGAAAUGUGAAGAAAAGGUAAGCAUAUUUAUUUGCCUCCCUUCUUGCUGUUGAUCCACACAUAUUUGAAGUUGAG